rnacentral:rRNA from 1 species
UACGAAGGGGCUAGCGUUGUUCGGAAUCACUGGGCGUAAAGCGCACGUAGGCGGAUCUUUUAAGUCAGGGGUGAAAUCCCGAGGCUCAACCUCGGAACUGCCUUGAUACUGGGGAUCUCGAGUCCGGGAGAGGUGAGUGGAACUGCGAGUGAGAGGUGAAAUUCGUAGAUAUUCGCAAGAACACCAGUGGCGAAGGCGGCUCACUGGCCCGGAACUGACGCUGAGGUGCGGAAAGCGAUGGGGAGCAAACAGGGGAU